AACGAACGUUGGCGGCGUGGAUUAGGCAUGCAAGUCGCGCGAAUCCCCAGCAAUGGGGGGAAGCGGCGUAAGGGGCAGUAAGGCGUGGAUGACCUACCCGGGGAUCGGGGAUAGCCCGUCGAGAGACGGGGUAAUACCCGAUGAUGUGGCGACACCAAAGCUCCGGCGUCCCCGGAGGGGUCCACGUGGUAUUAGCUAGUUGGUGGGGUGACGGCCCACCAAGGCGGAGAUGCCUAGCGGGUGUGAGAGCACGACCCGCGCCACUGGCACUGAGACACUGGCCAGACACCUACGGGUGGCUGCAGUCGAGGAUCUUCGGCAAUGGGGGCAACCCUGACCGAGCGACGCCGCGUGGGCGACGAAGGCCUUCGGGUUGUAAAGCCCUGUCGAGGGGGAGGAAAGCCGCAAGGUUUGACCCAUCCCUGGAGGAAGCACGGGCUAAGUUCGUGCCAGCAGCCGCAGUAAAAC
rnacentral:rRNA from 1 species